rnacentral:rRNA from 1 species
UUUAUGGAGAGUUUGAUCCUGGCUCAGGAUGAACGCUGGCGGCGUGCCUAAUACAUGCAAGUCGAGCGAACGGACGAGAAGCUUGCUUCUCUGAUGUUAGCGGCGGACGGGUGAGUAACACGUGGAUAACCUACCUAUAAGACUGGGAUAACUUCGGGAAACCGGAGCUAAUACCGGAUAAUAUUUUGAACCGCAUGGUUCAAAAGUGAAAGACGGUCUUGCUGUCACUUAUAGAUGGAUCCGCGCUGCAUUAGCUAGUUGGUAAGGUAACGGCUUACCAAGGCAACGAUGCAUAGCCGACCUGAGAGGGUGAUCGGCCACACUGGAACUGAGACACGGUCCAGACUCCUACGGGAGGCAGCAGUAGGGAAUCUUCCGCAAUGGGCGAAAGCCUGACGGAGCAACGCCGCGUGAGUGAUGAAGGUCUUCGGAUCGUAAAACUCUGUUAUUAGGGAAGAACAUAUGUGUAAGUAACUGUGCACAUCUUGACGGUACCUAAUCAGAAAGCCACGGCUAACUACGUGCCAGCAGCCGCGGUAAUACGUAGGUGGCAAGCGUUAUCCGGAAUUAUUGGGCGUAAAGCGCGCGUAGGCGGUUUUUUAAGUCUGAUGUGAAAGCCCACGGCUCAACCGUGGAGGGUCAUUGGAAACUGGAAAACUUGAGUGCAGAAGAGGAAAGUGGAAUUCCAUGUGUAGCGGUGAAAUGCGCAGAGAUAUGGAGG